GGAAAAGUAAAGAAAGAACCUGAAGAAAAGAAAGGGAAAGGAACUAAACAUAAUGGUGUACCUUGUGGCAGAUGAAGGUCUUCUUUGUUAAUUACUUAACUCUUCGAGCCCUUUGAUGCAAACAUCUCCAUCCACAAGCCAGGUGGGAUGAGAAAUAAUUGGUUUAAUGUAUAGCAACAUACCCUUGGAGUAGGUGUAACCAAAGACUGUAGGAGAGCCGUGUGUCCUGGAAGGAACAAGGAAGGAGAUUACAGCAUUGUCUUCACUGAAGACUUUUCAGAGCAGAUGAGAGGGCAUAGGCAAUGGCCAAGCACCUCUCAGGACAUCUCUGAUCUUCUUCAUGAGCCAAACUAUUGGACUGGGAAGAGACUACGUGACUGUAUGGUCCAUUCCUCCUCCCCAAAGCACACCUAAUUACAAAGCAUUAAUGUGUGUCAGGAAGCAACGCAACAGUGAUUAAAAUAACUCCACAAAAUAGGAAAUAAUACUUCUGUGAGUCAUGGGAGGUUACAGCAAUACAGUGCUCUGUAGGUCACCAGUUUGCCCGUAUUAACCUGCAGCGUGGAGUUAAACCAAAAGAGAUGACAGAAAAAGAGUCGAGCUGGGAUAAAACUGCAGAUGAGGAAAAGCCAUCUGCAGGGACAAGAUGAGCCCUUUCCCCCUUCAGGAGAUGAGCAUUGGCCUGGGGAUGAAUACCUGCCUUCCAGAGCUUCAGGUCUGAUUCUUGGCAAACAUCAUGGAAGCUGUCAGGAGGUGAGGUUCAGCUUCAGGGAGUGAUAUGAAACUGAGAGAGAUGCUGGGGGCCAGGACAGCACCAAAAGGUACUGUCACUGGAAACCAAGAGUAUAAAGUGGAACUUGGUCAUGGCCUCAAUAAAUGCUAGAUACAGACACAGUGUGGAUUUUGUCAGCAAGAAGGUGGUGAAUGCAAAGAGCCUGAGUUUACUGUGAGAUGUAAACUGUUUGCUCUUGAGGAAGAGGAUGGUUUAUUAGUUCCUGUAAACCUGGGCACAAGCAGACCUGGAACAUCCCUGUCAGGGCACAGGAAGGCUCAGUGGGACAACAUGAACCCCUCCCCCCCAGGCAGAGGAUGGAAGAUGGCCUCAACCCCAUGUUCUUCAUCACACUUGUUUCUCG
ensembl:lncRNA